AUGGGCAAGGGCCAGGCUGUCACCCCCCCUGGUUGCGCACCGUAUCUUGAUCCGGAUACGGUGGCAAGUGAGCGAGGAUCGGGUCGUCGCACCCUUAGUGGAGCGCUACAUCGGCGCCCCGAUGUAGUGGAAAAUGAGCAAGGGUCUUCGCAUUUGACUCGACGAGUGCGAAGGGUAAGGAAGCUAGCCGAGCCUAGCAGGAUUCGCUUAGGUAGCUGGAACGUAGGGUCCCUAACAAGGAAGCUUCGGGAGCUAGUUGAUGCAGCGGUGAGGAAAGGUGUUGAUAUCCUUUGCGUCCAAGAAACCAAAUGGAGGGGACAGAAGGCAAAGGAGGUGGAGGAGGUAGAGGAUACCGGCUUCAAGUUGUGGUACACAGGGACAGCUGUAAACAGAAAUGGCGUAGGCAUCUUGAUCAACAAGAGCCUCAAGUAUGGAGUGGUAGACGUCAAGAGACGUGGGGAUCGGAUUAUCCUGGUCAAGCUGGUAGUUGGGUACUUAGUUCUCAAUGUUAUCAGCGUGUAUGCCCCGCAAGUAGGCCACAAUGAGAACACCAAGAGGGAGUUCUGGGAAGGCCUGGAAGACAUGGUUAGGAGUGUACCGAUCGGCGAGAAGCUCUUCAUAGGAGGAGACCUCAAUGGCCACGUGGUUACAUCUAACACAGGUUUUGAAGGGGCACAUGGGGACUUUGGCUAUGGCAUCAGGAAUCAAGGAGAAGAUGUCUUACGCUUUGCUCUAGCCUAUGACAUGAUUGUAGCUAACACCCUCUUUAGAAAGAGAGAAUCACAUCUGGUGACUUUUAGUAGUGGCCAACACUCUAGCCAGAUUGAUUUCAUCCUCUCGAGAAGAGAAGACAGGCGUGUGUGCCUAGACUGUAAGGUGAUACCUGGAGAGAGUGUUGUACCUCAGCAUAAGUUGGUUGUUGACUUACGCUUUCGGAUUCGUGUCAAGCGGGAUAAGCGUGCCAACGUCGCUAGAACGGAGUGA
rnacentral:rRNA from 1 species